AUUGAACGCUGGCGGCAGGCCUAACACAUGCAAGUCGAACGAGUGGCGGACGGGUGAGUAAUGUCUGGGAAACUGCCUGAUGGAGGGGGAUACCUACUGGAAACGGUAUCUAAUACCGCAUACCAUCGGAUGUGCCCAGCGGGGAUUAGAUAGUAGGUGGGGUAACGGCUCACCUAGGCGACGAUCCCUAGCUGGUCUGAGGUGAUGAACAGCCACACGGGAACGGAUACACGGUCCAGACUCCUACGGGAGGCAGCAGUGGGGAAUAUUGCACAAUGGGCGCAAGCCUGAUGCAGCCAUGCCGCGUGUAUGAAGAAGGCCUUCGGGUUGUAAAGUACUUUCAGCGGGGAGGCGUUACCCGCAGAAGAAGCACCGGCUAACUCCGUGCCAGCCGCCGCGGUAAUUC
rnacentral:rRNA from 1 species